rnacentral:rRNA from 1 species
GACGAACGCUGGCGGCGUGCUUAACACAUGCAAGUCGAACGAUGAACCCGGAGCUUGCUCCGGCGGAUUAGUGGCGAACGGGUGAGUAACACGUGAGUAACCUGCCCUUGACUCUGGGAUAACUGCUAGAAAUGGUAGCUAAUACCGGAUACGACCCUCGGCGGCAUCGCCAGGGGGUGGAAAGAAUUCCGGUCAAGGAUGGACUCGCGGCCUAGCAGCUAGUUGGUGAGGUAACGGCUCACCAAGGCGACGACGGGUAGCCGGCCUGAGAGGGUGUCCGGCCACACUGGGACUGAGACACGGCCCAGACUCCUACGGGAGGCAGCAGUGGGGAAUAUUGCACAAUGGGCGCAAGCCUGAUGCAGCAACGCCGCGUGAGGGAUGACGGCCUUCGGGUUGUAAACCUCUUUUAGUAGGGAAGAAGCGAAAGUGACGGUACCUGCAGAAAAAGCACCGGCUAACUACGUGCCAGCCGCCGCGGUAA